CCCUUAGAUGUUCUGGGCCGCACGCGCGCUACACUGACGAAUGCAACGAGCUUAUAACCUUGGCCGAAAGGUCUGGGUAAUCUCCAAAUUUCGUCGUGAUGGGGAUAGAUUAUUGCAAUUAUUAAUCUUCAACGAGGAAUGCCUAGUAAGCGCAAGUCAUCAGCUUGCGUUGAUUACGUCCCUGCCCUUUGUACACACCGCCCGUCGCUCCUACCGAUUGAAUGGUCCGGUGAAGCGUUCGGACCGUGGCCUUUGGACGGUUCGCCGUCUGUUGGCUGCGGGAAGUUCGUUAAACCUUAUCAUUUAGAGGAAGGAGGANUCGUANCA
rnacentral:rRNA from 1 species